AUGGAUUCAAGUGACUCAACAAUCAUUCUGGAUCUGUCCACAGAAGGGAGGAGCAGCCCAGAGUCGGCCAGUAAAACAAGUGAGUUAGAAGGAAAAAGGAAAGCACAAAACCUACUUGAAGAAGAACCCUCUACCCUGCCAAGUCCUAAUACAAACAAGCCUGCAGAUAUCAACAGUCCAGACACCCACUGUCCAGCAACCUUGGCCAAACACUACAAGACCCUACAAACUUUGU